AUUGGUUUUAGAAAAAAAAAUGGGCAGAGGGCCUGAACAGACACUUUCCCCAAGAAGACAUAAAUGGCCAAAAGAUAUAUGGAAAGAUGCUCAACUUCAAUAGCUAUUAGGGACAUGUCAAUCAAA